rnacentral:rRNA from 1 species
CUACGGGGUGCUGCAGUGGGGAAUAUUGGACAAUGGGGGAAACCCUGAUCCAGCAAUGCCGCGUGUGUGAAGAAGGCCUGCGGGUUGUAAAGCACUUUCGGUUGGGAGGACUGCUUCUAGCACUAAUAUUGUUGGAAGUUGACGUUACCUUCAGAAGAAGCACCGGCUAACUCCGUGGCCAGCAGCCGCGGUAAUACGGAGGGUGCAAGCGUAAUCGGAAUUACUGGGCGUAAAGCGCGCGUAGGCGGCUAGAUCAGUCGGGUGUGAAAGCCCCGGGCUUAACCUGGGAACUGCAUCCGAUACUGUCUAGCUUGAGUACAGUAGAGGAGAGUGGAAUUCCACAUGUAGCGGUGAAAUGCGUAGAUAUGUGGAGGAACACCAAUGGCGAAGGCAGCUCUCUGGCCUGAUACUGACGCUGAGGUGCGAAAGCGUGGGGAGCAAACAGGAUUAGAUACCCCAGUAGUC